GCUACAGCGUGCUGCAGCUCCUCAUCGCACUCGUCACUGAACUACAGAAGCACAGGGCACCGAAGGCACUCUACCUGUCAGAUGGCAGAAUACACACCUGCUCCUAAUCUCACAAUGCCAUCUGAAAAUGGAACAGAAAGAAGCAGCUCUGCCAUUACCUUUACAUACGGGCUGUCUGGGACGCAUCACCGUGGCGGAGCAGCAGGCUGCUGCCUUCCUUCCCAGGAUCCUGGCUUUUUCCCAGGGAAAACCUAUUUCGUGGCUUAUGGUUUUUAAUUGAGACCAUUUCGAUUUGUUGCUGAUUCUGUUUUGAAGACACUGUUUCCAUCAGCAUGUCUUAAUAUACUAAACGUGUCCCCUAAGCCCAUCCUUGAAGCUUGGCGCUACGAUUCCCUGGUACAACUUUAUGGUUUGGAAGACUUGUGUACACACACAUUCCCGACGUAGCAGAGUCCCCUACAACAACCAGGAGCUACAGUUAUAAUUUCAGUGCAUGUUUCAAACCUGAAGCGGGACAGAAGUCACACAACUGGAAACGAAACAGCUCGUGAAUGGUGAUUUAUUUACAGAGACUGCUUCCAGCAGGAGAACUCAGUCUGCAUCCCACGCUUCCAUUGGAUAUUCAACAAGGGGUGAGGUACGCUGGGAAUACAAAGGACUAGUAGAGAAGAGCUGGACAUGUCAUUUGUGACUCAUUCUUUUAAUUCACCGUGCUAAUCAACUGAACUGCCACAAUCUCCCAAGGUAAUUGUAUCUUUAUAAUAGUUGAAAGCAGUGGGCAAAAAGGCAUGGAUAGAUGGGGAAAGGCCUUCCCUUUGCCUGCUGAGAAACAGCGCGAUACUCCUUCUGCGAGAGACUAAUGGGGCCUUUUUAGAAAAAUCUGGAACUUUCAUAUCUCUGCACCCUGAUCAUUUAAUGUCUCAACUUUU